UAAAAAAUUAAGUAUUGGAAGUGAGGCCUGCCCAAUGAUUGUAUCCUAACUUAAAUAAUAAACUGGGAUAAAGUUAUUUGAUUAAGGACAAUUCAAUGGCCGCGGUAAAACUGACCGUGAUAAUGUAGCGCAAUCCAUAGCCAAUUAAUUGUUGGCAAGUAUGAAUGGCUUAACAAGCGCCCCGCUGUCUCAAGAUAAAAACCUGUGAAAUUGGAGCCGUAGUGAAGAUACUACGUACAAAUUGUUAGACGAGAAGACCCCAUUGAGCUUUACUGGAAAUUUAUAUAAUUCUUUUUUUAUUAAUGUGUAGAUUAUGUGGGAACUAAACAAUAGUUUUGACUUUAAUGAAAAACCACUUUUUAAUAAUUUAAGGUUCAAAAAAAAGUAAAAGUGUAAAGCAGACAGUUUAGUUGGGGCGACUGCCUUCUAAAUAGUAACGAAGGUGUACAAAGGUGAAUAAAAUAAUAGAUUUAGUUUAAAGCCUGACAGCGAGGAUAAUUUUCCGAGCUGACACGAAGAUUUAUUAGGGAUGAUUUUUCGUGGGUUAUAAUGACCCGUUAGUAUUAAAUGGGAAAGCUAACGAUCAACGGAUAAAAGUUACCAUGGGGAUAACAGCGUAAUAUCGUUCGAGAGUUCAUAUCGACAACGAUGUUUGCGACCUCGAUGUUGAAUUGUGGUAUCCCUGGGGGUGCAGCCGCCCCCAAGGG
rnacentral:rRNA from 3 species